rnacentral:rRNA from 1 species
AACGAACGUUGGCGGCGUGGAUGAGGCAUGCAAGUCGAACGCGAAAGCCGCAAGGCGAGUAAAGUGGCGGACGGGCGAGUAACACGUAAUCAAGCUACCUGCGAGACGGGGAUAACUUCGGGAAACCGAAGCUAAGACCCGAUGGUCUUCUAGGAACGCAUGUUCCAUGAAGUAAAUGGGCGGGAUCCUCCGGGAUCGCCUGCUCGCAGAGGUGAUUGCGGCCCAUCAGCUAGUUGGUAGGGUAAUGGCCUACCAAGGCAACGACGGGUAGCCGGCCUUAGAGGGUGGUCGGCCGCACUGGGACUGAGACACUGCCCAGACUCCUACGGGAGGCUGCAGUCGAGAAUCUUCCGCAAUGGGCGAAAGCCUGACGGAGCGACGCCGCGUGGAGGACGAAGGCC